AUCGAAAACCAUGCUCCCAUUGAGCCAAAGCUCUCUUCUUCCUUCAUCACAGACUCCGAAAUCCAAUCUGAAUUUGCUCACCAUGCUCCUGGUGUUGCCAUGAUGAACAAUGGCAGCUUUGGUUGCUGCCCUGCUUCUGUCAUCUCUGCCUUGCAACAAUGGCAGCUCAAAAUGCUCCGCCAGCCGUGCAAUUUCUUCUUGAAUGAUCUCCAGAACAGGAUACUUGAAUCAAGAACCAUAGUUAAAGACCUUAUCAACGCAGAAGAUGUGGAUGAAGUCUCCAUUGUAGACAACAUCUCCACUGCUGCUGCCAUAGUCCUGCAGCAAACAGCAUGGGCGUUUGCUGAAGGGAAAUUCAACAAGGGGGAUGCUGUCAUUAUGUUUAGCUGCACUUAUGGUGCGGUGAAGAACUCAAUCAAGGCCUACUUUUCACGUGCUGGUGGGUACGUUAUCGAAGUUCCAUUUAACUUUCCAUUGAAUUCCAAUGAAGAAAUCAUAAGUGAAUUUAGGAAAGCAUUGGAGAGAGAAAAGGGUAAUGGUAGGAGAGUGAGAUUGGCUGUGAUUGAUCAUGUCACAUGCAUGCCAAGUGUUGUAAUGCCAGUUAAGCAAUUGGUUAAAAUCGUUAGGGAAGAAGGUGUUGAACAAGUUUUCAUAGAUGCAGCUCAUGGUGUUGGGUGCGUAGAUGUUGAUAUGCAAGAAAUUGGGGCAGAUUUUUAUGCUAGUACUUUGUAUAAGUGGUUCUUCUGCCCACCUGCAGCUGCAUUUUUGUAUUGUAGGAAGUCAGCUACAUAUUCAGAUUUGGAAUUACAUCACCCUGUUGUAUCUCAUAGGUAUGGUAAGGGGUUGGCUGAAGAAAGUUUUUGGGUUGGGACAAGGGAUUAUAGUCCAUAUCUGGUGCUUCCUUCAGCUAUGGAGUUCGUUAAGAGGUUCAAAGGCGGUGUUGAGGGAAUCAGAAAAAUGAAUCAUGAUGCUGUUGUAGAGAUGGGGAAGAUGUUGGCAGAAGCUUGGGGAACCAAUCUAGGCUGCCCUCCUGAUAUGUGUGCUAGCAUGAUCAUGGUUGGUUUACCAUCUUGUUUGGGGAUUUCAAGUGAUAAUGAUGCUAUGAAGUUAUGGGCACAUUUACGCAAGAAAUUUGGUGUUGAAGUCAGGAUACAUUAUCAAGCUCCCAAAGAUGGAGAGGUUGUGUUGACAACGGGGUACAUUCGAAUUUGUCAUCAGAUUUACAACAAAGUUGAUGACUAUUACAAGCUCAGAGAUACAAUUAAUCAACUCGUUCAUGACGGGUUCACUUGCGCUCUUGAGGUAUACAUAUUGUCUUGAUCCACUUUAUUGGUUUGUAAGCUAGAGCCUAGACAUACUACACACUGCAAUUUCCUGAAUUUGGUUUGCUUACUUGUUAUUGACAUGGGAUUUUUAUGUUAAUCUGCAGAUCAAUGACGCCUGAAGAAAUCCGUUUGAUAAAUAAAAAGGAGCUAUACAUAUAGUUCUCUGUCUCCUACAUGCUUUGCUAGUUGAAACACAAACAAUCCAUACAAAAAAGUUCAUGAACUGGUUUUUUUUUUUUUUUUUUCAGUUUGAUAUGCCGAAAUGUUGGUGUAUGAAUACCUAAGCAAUUUUCUGUCAGCUUCAACGAAUGUAAUUUCCAGAGAUGUUUUAGACAACCACUCACUAAUGGACUCCAUUUGAACACAGCACUGACCUAAAAAUACAUGCCCUCAACUCUCUCCCCUUUAAAUUUUUAUAAUAAGCAAUUGUAACUGUUCUGAAAAAAAGAAAAAAGAAAAAAGAAAUUGUAAUAUAGAGUGUUGACUGUCACUUUGAGCAGUGUGAGAGUUAAACUGUCUUUUUGAGCAGUGUGGUACCAAAUGCGAGUGCUGCAACAAAUGCUAUCAGUUCAGCUAUUGACUGCACUUGUUAACAAGCUGAUAUGAUUUUGAGUAAAAAUUUCAGUGGAUAUAUUUAUUAAAAACUAAGGCAUGGGAAAUGGUAAGCUGAUAGUACUAAUUGGGCGAAAAUAUUGUACAACUUAGAACAAGGCAUGAAGUUGAUAGUACUAAUCAACUCGAAUUUGUCAUCAGAUUUACAACAAAGUUGAUGACUAUUACAGGUUCAGAGAUGCAAUUAAUCAACUCGUUCGUGACCGUUUCACUUGAACUCUUGAGGUAUAUAUAUGCUCUGCCUUCAUCCACUUUAUUGGUUUAUAAGCUAGACAUACUACACAGCAGUUCCCUGAAUUUGGUUUGCUAACUUGUUAUUGACAUGGGAUUUUAUGUUGAUCUGCAGAUCAAUGAGGCCUGAAG
rnacentral:lncRNA from 1 species